rnacentral:rRNA from 1 species
CAGUAGCCACGGGAAUACAGAGGGUGCGAGCGUUAAUCGGAUUUACUGGGCGUAAAGCGUGCGUAGGCGGCUUUUUAAGUCGGAUGUGAAAUCCCUGAGCUUAACUUAGGAAUUGCAUUCGAUACUGGGAAGCUAGAGUAUGGGAGAGGAUGGUAGAAUUCCAGGUGUAGCGGUGAAAUGCGUAGAGAUCUGGAGGAAUACCGAUGGCGAAGGCAGCCAUCUGGCCUAAUACUGACGCUGAGGUACGAAAGCAUGGGGAGCAAACAGGAUUAGAUACCCCUGUAGUCCCUGUCUCUUAUAC